AGGGCUGUGGCUCAGUGGUACAGCAUCUGCUUGGCGUGCCGAAGGUCCCAGGAUCAAUCCCUGGUAGCUUCA
rnacentral:tRNA from 1 species